UACGUAGGGGGCCAGCGUUGUCCGGAUUCAUUGGGCGUAAAGCGCGUGUAGGCGGCCAGGUAGGUCCGAUGUGAAAUCUGGAGGCUCAACCUCCAGCGGUCAUUGGAAACCAUCUGGCUAGAGUCCGGAAGAGGAGAGUGGAAUUCCUGGUGUAGCGAUGAAAUGCGCAGAUAUCAGGAAGAACACCAAUUGCGAAGGCAGCUGGCUACACAUAUAUUGACACUGAGGCACGAAAGCGUGGGGAUCAAACAGG
rnacentral:rRNA from 1 species